rnacentral:rRNA from 1 species
GCCUGCCAGAUGACAAAGUUAAACGGCCGCGGUACCCUGACCGUGCGAAGGUAGCGCAAUCACUUGUUCUUUAAAUGAGGACUAGUAUGAAUGGCAUCACGAGGAUUAUGCUGUCUCCCUCUUUUAAUCAGUGAAACUGAUCUCCCCGUGAAGAAGCGGGAAUAAAUCUAUAAGACGAGAAGACCCUAUGGAGCUUUAAACUCAGCACCACCUACCACUUUAUAAACACUUCCUAAUAAACGGGUAGCACUUGACUCGCUAGUUUUCGGUUGGGGUGACCGCGGAGCAAAAUAAAACCUCCACGAUGAGACUUCCUAAUCUUAGAGCUACAUCUCAAAGAAUCAAUAAAUUGACAUCAAUUGACCCAAAUAACAUUUUGAUCAACGAACCAAGUUACCCUAGGGAUAACAGCGCAAUCCAUUUCAAGAGCUCAUAUCGACAAAUGGGUUUACGCCUCGAUGUUGGAACCGAAAUCACAACGUGAUCUGAGUUCAGA